rnacentral:rRNA from 1 species
UGCAAGUCGUACGCUUCUUUUUCCACCGGAGCUUGCUCCACCGGAAAAAGAAGAGUGGCGAACGGGUGAGUAACACGUGGGUAACCUGCCCAUCAGAAGGGGAUAACACUUGGAAACAGGUGCUAAUACCGUAUAACAAUCGAAACCGCAUGGUUUUGAUUUGAAAGGCGCUUUCGGGUGUCGCUGAUGGAUGGACCCGCGGUGCAUUAGCUAGUUGGUGAGGUAACGGCUCACCAAGGCCACGAUGCAUAGCCGACCUGAGAGGGUGAUCGGCCACAUUGGGACUGAGACACGGCCCAAACUCCUACGGGAGGCAGCAGUAGGGAAUCUUCGGCAAUGGACGAAAGUCUGACCGAGCAACGCCGCGUGAGUGAAGAAGGUUUUCGGAUCGUAAAACUCUGUUGUUAGAGAAGAACAAGGAUGAGAGUAACUGUUCAUCCCUUGACGGUAUCUAACCAGAAAGCCACGGCUAACUACGUGCCAGCAGCCGCGGUAAUACGUAGGUGGCAAGCGUUGUCCGGAUUUAUUGGGCGUAAAGCGAGCGCAGGCGGUUUCUUAAGUCUGAUGUGAAAGCCCCCGGCUCAACCGGGGAGGGUCAUUGGAAACUGGGAGACUUGAGUGCAGAAGAGGAGAGUGGAAUUCCAUGUGUAGCGGUGAAAUGCGUAGAUAUAUGGAGGAACACCAGUGGCGAAGGCGGCUCUCUGGUCUGUAACUGACGCUGAGGCUCGAAAGCGUGGGGAGCAAACAGGAUUAGAUACCCUGGUAGUCCACGCCGUAAACGAUGAGUGCUAAGUGUUGGAGGGUUUCCGCCCUUCAGUGCUGCAGCUAACGCAUUAAGCACUCCGCCUGGGGAGUACGACCGCAAGGUUGAAACUCAAAGGAAUUGACGGGGGCCCGCACAAGCGGUGGAGCAUGUGGUUUAAUUCGAAGCAACGCGAAGAACCUUACCAGGUCUUGACAUCCUUUGACCACUCUAGAGAUAGAGCUUCCCCUUCGGGGGCAAAGUGACAGGUGGUGCAUGGUUGUCGUCAGCUCGUGUCGUGAGAUGUUGGGUUAAGUCCCGCAACGAGCGCAACCCUUAUUGUUAGUUGCCAUCAUUUAGUUGGGCACUCUAGCAAGACUGCCGGUGACAAACCGGAGGAAGGUGGGGAUGACGUCAAAUCAUCAUGCCCCUUAUGACCUGGGCUACACACGUGCUACAAUGGGAAGUACAACGAGUCGCGAAGUCGCGAGGCUAAGCUAAUCUCUUAAAGCUUCUCUCAGUUCGGAUUGUAGGCUGCAACUCGCCUACAUGAAGCCGGAAUCGCUAGUAAUCGCGGAUCAGCACGCCGCGGUGAAUACGUUCCCGGGCCUUGUACACACCGCCCGUCACACCACGAGAGUUU